UUAUAUAUUUAUAUAUUUUUUUAAAUGGGGUAGCCCCCAAAAUAUUGGGACAUAUAAAAAAAGACAACUCUGUUCCGCAGAGUAGGUGUUAACAUUAUAGUUGCUCAGGCACUUUGUUGACUCUGGAGAACCUCGGGCCAAGAGCACAUCCCCGUGACGGCGACUUUGCAUUUUGGAUGUCAUCCAUAUCAACUUUCGAUAGCAGUUUCUGCGCCUACCAUGGUGACCACGGGUAACGGGAAAUCAGGGUUCCAUUUCAUACAGGGACCCUGAGAAACGUCUACCACAUUCAAGGAAGGCAGCAAGCGCAAAUGACCCACUCCCUACGUGGGAAGGUAGUAACAA